rfam:Oryza sativa Japonica Group DNA, chromosome 3, cultivar: Nipponbare, complete sequence.
AAAAAGACAAACCUUGGGUUUCUGUGUCCGUCUUAUAUGAAAGUUUUUUUAUAAUUAGUAUUUUUAUUGUUGUUAGAUGAUAAAACAUGAUUAAUACUUUAUACGUGACUUGUCUUUUUAAUUUUUUUUCAUAUUAUUUUCAAAUAAGACGAACGGUCAAACGUUGGACACGGAAACCCAGGGUUUGUCUUUUU